rnacentral:rRNA from 1 species
CGACGACGGGUAGCCGGCCUGAGAGGGCGACCGGCCACACUGGGACUGAGACACGGCCCAGACUCCUACGGGAGGCAGCAGUGGGGAAUAUUGGGCAAUGGAGGAAACUCUGACCCAGCGACGCCGCGUGCGGGAUGAAGGCCUUCGGGUUGUAAACCGCUUUCAGCAGGGAAGAAGCGAAAGUGACGGUACCUGCAGAAGAAGCACCGGCUAACUAUGUGCCAGCAGCCGCGGUAAUACAUAGGGUGCAAGCGUUGUCCGGAAUUAUUGGGCGUAAAGAGCUCGUAGGUGGUUCGUCACGUCGGAUGUGAAACUCUGGGGCUUAACCCCAGACCUGCAUUCGAUACGGGCGAGCUUGAGUAUGGUAGGGG